GAUGAACGCUGGCGGCGUGCCUAAUACAUGCAAGUAGAACGCUGAAGGAGGAGCUUGCUCUUCUGGAUGAGUUGCGAACGGGUGAGUAACGCGUAGGUAACCUGCCUGGUAGCGGGGGAUAACUAUUGGAAACGAUAGCUAAUACCGCAUGACAACAGUUAUUGCAUGAUAACUGUUUAAAAGGGGCAACUGCUCCACUACCAGAUGGACCUGCGUUGUAUUAGCUAGUUGGUGAGGUAACGGCUCACCAAGGCGACGAUACAUAGCCGACCUGAGAGGGUGAUCGGCCACACUGGGACUGAGCCACGGCCCGGACUCCUCCGGGAGGCAGCGGUAGGAAAUUUCGGCAAUGGACGGAAGUCUGACCGAGCAACGCCGCGUGAGUGAAGAAGGUUUUCGGAUCGUAAAGCUCUGUUGUAAGAGAAGAACGAGUGUGAGAGUGGAAAGUUCACACUGUGACGGUAUCUUACCAGAAAGGGACGGCUAACUACGUG
rnacentral:rRNA from 1 species